GAUCCUGGCUCAGAUUGAACGCUGGCGGCAGGCUUAACACAUGCAAGUCGGACGGUAACAUGAAGAAGCUUGCUUCUUUGAUGACGAGUGGCGGACGGGUGAGUAAUGCUUGGGAAUCUAGCUUAUGGAGGGGGAGUAACUACGGGAAACUGUAGCUAAUACCGCGUAGAAUCGAGAGAUGAAAGUGUGGGACCUUCGGGCCACAUGCCAUAGGAUGGAGCCCAAGUGGGAUUAGGUUAGG
rnacentral:rRNA from 1 species